AGUGAACGCUGGCGGCAGGCCUAACACAUGCAAGUCGAGCGGCAGCGGGUCCUUCGGGAUGCCGGCGAGCGGCGGACGGGUGAGGAAUGCAUCGGAAUCUGCCCUGUCGUGGGGGAUAACCUAGGGAAACUUAGGCUAAUACCGCAUACGACCCACGGGUGAAAGCGGGGGAUCGCAAGACCUCGCGCGAUAGGAUGAGCCGAUGUCCGAUUAGCUAGUUGGCGGGGUAAAGGCCCACCAAGGCGACGAUCGGUAGCUGGUCUGAGAGGAUGAUCAGCCACACUGGGACUGAGACACGGCCCAGACUCCUACGGGAGGCAGCAGUGGGGAAUAUUGGACAAUGGGCGCAAGCCUGAUCCAGCCAUGCCGUGUGGGUGAAGAAGGCCUUCGGGUUGUAAAGCCCUUUUGUCCGGGAAGAAAUCGUCUGGGCUAAUACCCCGGGCGGAUGACGGUACCGGAAGAAUAAGCACCGGCUAACUUCGUG
rnacentral:rRNA from 1 species